AUUGAACGCUGGCGGCAGGCCUAACACAUGCAGGUCGAACGGUAGCACAGAGAGCUUGCUCUCGGGUGACGAGUGGCGGACGGGUGAGUAAUGUCUGGGAAACUGCCCGAUGGAGGGGGAUAACUACUGGAAACGGUAGCUAAUACCGCAUAACGUCGCAAGACCAAAGUGGGGGACCUUCGGGCCUCACACCAUCGGAUGUGCCCAGAUGGGAUUAGCCAGUAGGUGGGGUAAUGGCCCACCUAGGCGACGAUCCCUAGCUGGUGUGAGAGGAUGACCAGCCACGCUGGAACUGAGACACGGUCCAGAGUCCUACGGGAGGCAGCAGUGGGGAAUAUUGCACAUUGGGAUCAGGCCUGAUGCAGCCAUGCCGCGUGUAUGAAGAAGGCGUGCGGGUUGUAAAGUACUUACAGCGGGGAGGAAGGCGGUGAAGUUAAUAGCUUCACCGAUUGGCGUUACCCGCAGAAGAAGCACCGGCUAACUCCGUGCCAGCCGCCGCCGUAA
rnacentral:rRNA from 1 species